AAUUUAUCAUCUUAAGACUGAAGAAUGGUAAUUUUUCAAUACAUACAAAUCGAACAUUGCUCGCGUGUUUAUAACUUUGUUUUCUUAUUAUUAUUUAAUUUCGAAUAUGAUAUCCUUAAAAUAUAACAAUUAAAAUUACUUCAAAACACCGCGUGCUUACUAGAAACUUAAUCAACUCAACUUCAGUACAUGUUGUCGUCGUCGUCGUCGUAUUCGUUGUUUGAAUGAACGAUUAUAUUGUAUCCAAUAUUUACGCUGCUUUAAAAUUUCGUUCCGACGACGUUUAUUUACCAAUGAUAAAGUUUCAUACAUAUACAUACGAGUAUAAUCGAUUAUUUAAUAUAAAGUCUCGUAUCUCCUUCCA